GAUAGCUCAGCGGUAGAGCAUUCGGCUGUUAACCGAAGGGUCGUAGGUUCGAACCCUACUC
rnacentral:tRNA from 1 species